rnacentral:rRNA from 1 species
ACGGCUACCUUGUUACGACUUCACCCCAGUUACCGGGCCUGCCUUCGACAGCUCCUCCCUUGCGGUUAGGCCACUGGCUUCGGGCAUUCCUGGCUCCCAUGGUGUGACGGGCGGUGUGUACAAGACCCGGGAACGUAUUCACCGCAGCAUUCUGAUCUGCGAUUACUAGCGAUUCCAGCUUCAUACAGCCGGGUUGCAGGCUGUAAUCCGAACUGGGACGCCUUUUUUGUGCUUUGCUCCCCCUCGCAGGUUCGCCUCACUCUGUUGGCGCCAUUGUAGCACGUGUGUAGCCCAGCCCAUAAGGGGCAUGAUGAUUUGACGUCGUCCCCGCCUUCCUCCGGGUUAUCCCCGGCAGUCCUUACAGACCGCCCAGCCUUGCUGCUGGCUACUGUAAGCAGGGGUUGCGCUCGUUGCGGGACUUAACCCAACAUCUCACGACACGAGCUGACGACAACCAUGCACCACCUGUCUCUGCUGUCCCGUAAGAAAGCCCGCAUUACCGGGCUGCCAGCAUGAUGUCAAGGGCUGGUAAGGUUCUUCGCGUUGCUUCAAAUUAAACCACAAUGCUCCACCGCUUGUGCGGGUCC